GCGAGCAUGGUGGAAUUGGUAGACACGCAGUCUUGAGGGGGCUGUGGCUUAACGGUCGUGAGAGUUCAAGUCUCUCUGCUCGCACCA
rnacentral:tRNA from 1 species